GUGAAAAGGCUUCUGUGAGGUGCAAGGGUGUCUCUGGGGAAGAUUGCCUCCAAAGAAGAACAGCACAGAGCCAGGCUUGUGUGGGUUUCUGCUCUCCGUCACUCACAUGUAUGUUAAGAAAUAAUUGCCUAGCCUGAUCAUCUCCAUGCUUAGACGUCAGCACAGCUUUAGUCCUACCCAGCUCCCCUGCCACAGGAUAAAUCCGCUCCAUCUAUCUCAUCUAUCAGCUUUGUGUGCUGUUUGUGCCAUUCCCAGGAAGCACUAGUUCAGCGAUGGCCACGGAACAGGGACAGGUCCUCUCUAGAAAGUGGAGUGGCUUCAGCAGGAGAGAUCAGGCAUAUCCUCCGCACAGCCCUGCUCCAGACAGCCAGUGGUCUGCAGGAGGACAGAGGGCUGCCUUUGAGUUCCCAGCUGCAGAGAAGGGGAGAGACCCACAGGUCCUGCCUUUCAGCAAGAAGAUCUGA
rnacentral:lncRNA from 1 species